GACAUCGUUUCAUCGACGAACCCAACAAACAGGUUCCACGACGACCCUUUCGAUCGGCUGUGGGAAACCGUCGAAGUUUCCUCCUACUGGACCGCGAUCAACACCACCUCUCCUGUCCAGAUCUUCGCCAAUGUUUUGUUCGAGGUUCCCUCCGCCGUGCUCCAGACCGCCGUCGCCCCAGUUCAGCUGGAAGACGCCCAAAUCUGAGGAUGCCUGCCCCCAGCACCACAUCUUUAUGCACUUCCCCGACCUCCAAUCCCUUGACCCAGGCCAGUCCAGAGACUUCAACAUCAACCUCAACCUCAACGGCCAAUUCUACCACCCCCCCGCACUCUUCCCCCUGAGACCUCUAAUCGGGAUAUGUGUACGCCACGAGACCGUCUGAUACGGACCAUAACUUCUCCCUCGCCGAGACAGACUCUUCGACCCUUCCGCGCAUCAUCAAUGCGCUCGAGGUCUAUUCCGUCAGGCAGCUCACGGAGAACGCCACCGAUAGCUCUGACGAAACGAAAUUGGACGUAUCCCUCAUUUUUGUGACAUCAGUGGAUGCCAUUGAGGCAAUCAAGAAGCAGUAUAAAGUGAACAGAAAUUGGACGUGGUCGGGUGAUCCAUGCGCUCCAGGAGGGCAUACAUGGGAUGGUUUGGAUUGCAGCUAUAGUAUUUCUGAUCCCCCUUGGAUUACAUCAAAACUCGUCUUAUAGUGGAUUGACGGGCAGUAUAUGUCAUUCCUUUGCUAACAUCAAAGCAAUCGAGUAUUGGGGUCUUGCCGAAGGUUAAUUUUGGCCUGGGAAUCAGGAUCUCCUAUAAUUUUAAUAGGUGGUGAUUUUGUAUGAUAAUCUGCAAGGUCACGGCUGUCUGAUGACAAUUUCCAGGGACCUGUCAUACAACAACUUAACAGGGCCAGUACCUGACAUUUUAGCAGAACUUCCUUUCCUCGAAGUCCUAAAUUUGUCAAGCAACCAGUUAAUUGGGUCAAUUCCUUCUGCUUUCCUUGUAAAAUCACAAAAUGGACUUACAGUAAGGAUUGAAGGGAAUCCAAAUCUCUGUGCCAAUGGAACUUCAUGCAUCGCAUCUGCAAAGAAAAAAAUAUCAACACCUGUGAUUGUGAUUCUUGGUAUAGUUGCUGCUGUCCUACUGCUUAUGGUAAUUGUCAUACUCUGGAGACUGAGAAAGCCACGAGGAAAGUUUGUCUAUAGCAAAUCCCUUGCAUUUGGCAGUUUUAGCUCAGAUAUAACUGACAGAUACUAUCGAUUCGAUCCAUUAUCUUUGACCUGCAUUUGACAAUACCAUGGUUAAAUUGGAAGGCUUGAGAAGACAUGUCCAUGUGAAUCCAGAUAAUCACGGUGUAGCCAUGCAAGUAAAGGGAUUUCAUGAUGGUUCAUUGCAACUUGAGAGUCGCCAAUUCACAUACAUGGAACUGAAGUAUAUAACUAACAACUUUGGAAAGGUCCUUGAUAAAGGUGGAUAUGGGACUAUCUAUCAUGGUUAUAUGAAAGAUGGCACUCUAGUUGCAGUCAAGUUGCGAUCCCAAUCGUCAUCACAAGGGACUAAAGAGUUUCUUGCUGAGGCAGAAUGCAUAAUGCUGGAGCUUUGAGUCGGGGGCAGCGACUCCAGAUUGCAGUCGAUGCUGCACAAGGACCAGAGUAUUUGCAUAAGGGGUGCCAACCACCAUUAAUUCACAGAGAUGUGAAGACAGGGAAUAUCCUUUUGAGUGAAAGGAUGGAGGCCAAGAUAGCAGAUUUUGGGUUGUCAAAGAUACCUUGAUCUUGAUCAUGUCAAUCUUCUCAUUUCUUUAAUUUUUGCAGCUAGAGAGUUGAAACAUACAUAACUAAGUUGAUAGAUGGUGGUCAAGAAGAUAAACAAUGGCCAUUCGUAAACCACACAUUUGAAAGUAAAUUGUUAUUUUCAUGUUAUCAUUUAUUUUCUGCAUUAUGCAUAGACAUCUUAGGUUAAACAUACAUCACAAAGGAGAGAUAAUUAAUUUGCUGAUAUGCAUUUCAGCAUUAGAAGUUUCUAUUGCUGCUGUUAUCAUUUCUUUUGCUGUUUGUGUUAAUACCUUCUACAAUUGAGACAGUUGAUCACAUCUGACAGGUCUUAAGGAUUGUUGUAUUACAGCAGAUACUACACCACCUACCAGCUCAGUCAGUAAAGCGAUGUGUACAACUUUGGUGUGGUUCUUUUGGAGCUGAUCACAGGGCAGCGUCCACUACUGCAAGGUUCAAAGAAUGCACACAUUGUUCAACGAGUCCGCCAAGGACUUGUCCAAGGGAACAUUGAAGAUAUUGUUGAUGCCAAGCUGCAAGGCCAAUACAAUGUAAAUUCUGUUUGGAAAUGUGCUGAUAUAGCCAUGAAAUGCACAUCACAGGGAUUCCAUCAGUGGCCAACCAUGGAAGAAGUGUGAUGCAGCUAAAGGAGAGCUUGGUACUGGAAACCCCUCAUGACAGGACUGAGAACGUAGGCACAAGCAGUGAGUACCCUAACAUGGAAGUCAGUGAUGUAAGCCAGAAUAGUGCAUAUGUGGCAUCCGUCGAUCAGCAAGGUAAUGCUGGGAUCACUUGGAACUUUACUCUUGAGGCUCUGUUCUAUUCCGAUCCUAGGAGUUUGAAAUGGUUUCUGGCUCAAGUUUGAAUUGUUUAGCUUCAUGCAUGUCUUAUGCACUUUGAUGAUUGAUUCGGAAAAUAAGUUUCUGAGAUCCAAAAAUAAGGCACUCCAUUUGUAUACUGAGGACAGCAAAUACUGGUUUCAAUACAAACUGAAAUAUUUCUGAUGCUUGA